CUGUCUGAAAGAAGGAAAAUUGUACCGAUCAGAAGCAGCUCAAUUUCUUUCUUCCUUUUGGGCCAUCUCCUGGCAGGCAGGCUGUUAACCUUUGCUUCCUCUACAGUGCUGGCUUUGUCAUCAGCCACCUGGAACUUCAUGAAUGCCAGGCUCUCUCUUUGCUUUCAUAUUUGACAAUUCAGAAUUGCCUGAAGGCACGCUGCUCUGCUAGCUCGAGAUACGUGUUAGAUGAGUUUGGGCAACACGUUUCCUUUAAGGUCUAACUACACGGGGUGUCGAGAUGCUUGGCUUGCGUGGUAGAAAUAGCCUGGACUAGAAGUCGAGAAAGCAGCCCCACCAGUGAUCAUCUAUGUGGCCUUUGAUACGCCAUUUAACUUUGGCGAUCCUUGGCUUCCUCAAUGAGAAAAUGGAGACGUGGAACUAGAGGAUUCUAGACUGACUCCGAACUUCUGAUUCCUAUCAGCAUUUGAGGGGUCAUAAGAAGCAAGCUCUACUGGUUUCAACCUGCUGCCUUCUGACCGAAGCUUGUAUUUGGGGGUUUCAAAAGGGUUUUGAAUAAAAAGGAGAAGUAUUAUCAAGAAACCAGGAAAUUGGUAUGUAUGCUGGAAAGUGUUUAACAAUUGGCUCUCCAGAAGAAGAAAAAAAUAUAUUUAAAAUUUUAAUGUAGGGGGCAGCGAGGGGGCUCAGUUGAUAGAGAGCCAAACCUAGGGAUGGGAGGUUCUUGGUCUCAAAUUUGACUCCAGAGGCUUCCUAGCUGGGUGGCCCAGGGCAAGUCACCUACCCUCCCCCAUUGCCUAGCCUUUCUGCUCUUCUGCUUUGGAACCAAUACACAGUACUGAUUCUAAGAAAGAAGGUGAGGGUUAAAAAAAAAUAAAGUGUAAUCAGCAUUCUUAACAUUUUCUCUAUCACUUUCUUAUGUCUGUACCAGGGGGCAGCUAGUUAUGACUUGAGGACCAAAUCAAGCCUGUAGCUUUUGGACCUGGGAGCCAAGAUUUUACAUUUGUCGAUCACCUCCGUCACAGCCACCUUAUAUUUGCAUUCGAGGAUCUCUAAGCCGUUGAUGUCCACUUCGUAGUCGUGAGCUUCCUCGCCCGAGUCCCUGCCCUUCUCGCAGUCCAGCUCUGCCUUCAGCUCCUUGUUGCUCUGCAAGCCCCUCAUGGCAUUGACGUGCUCGGCUUGUAGGAACUGAUACAGAGUACAGUGAAGAGAACCCAGAGGGGAAAUUUUACAGUAAAACUUCCAACAAAUCAGAGCAACAACUUGCAAAGACUUCAGAACUUGUGUUCAGUGCAAAGAUCAAACCAUGAUUACAGAAGAUCAGUGAUGAUGCUGACUGCUCAUCUCCUGCCUACGAGUUUUCAGGUCCAGAUUCCUCUCCUCCAGCCUCUUCCCUCACCCACUGAGAAGUAAAACAAUGCCAUACCCUUUAUACAUAUAAAGUCGUGCAAACCACAUUUCCAUAUUAGCAAUAUGGCCAAAAAGGCAAGAAAAAUAAAAUUAAAAAAUUUCUUCACUCUCCACUCAGAGUUCGUCAGUCCUCUCCCUGUAGGAGGAUGUAAUCUUGUAUCAUGAAUUUUUUGGAAUUCUUAGACCAUUUUAUUGACCAGAUCAGCUAAAUCAUCCACAUCUGAAUAUUACUACAACAGCGCUGAUUCUCCUAGUUCUGCUCAUUUCACUUUGCCUCAGUUCACACAAGUCUUCCCAAGUCUUUCUAAAACCAGCUCCUUCGUCACUUCUUACACACAAUGGUUUUCCAUUCCAACCUCAACGAUUCCUCAGGUCAUGGGCAUUCCCUCAGUUUCUGAUUCUUUGUCACCACAAAAGAACUGCUCUGAACCUAUGCAUCCUCCCCCCACGCCGUUGGUCCCUUCGGGCUACAAACCUGGUAGGGGCAUUGUUGAGUCAAAGUGUAUGCGUGUCUGGAUAGCCCUUUGGACAAAGUUCCAAAUUAUUCCCUGGAAUGGUUGGACCGAUAUACACCUUCACCAACAGUGCAUUUUUGCCAUAUUCCCUCCAGCACUUAGCAUUUUCUUUUUCUGCCUCUCCUAUUUUUGAGUGGGUUAUUGGGAUAUACAUGUCUAUCACAACGUAAGUAGUGUAGUAAAAUACUCUCAGGAAGUCCCGGAUAAGGGCGGUUUCCCCGGCGCUCAAGUCCCUUCCGGACCGGGAAGGUUAAUUUAAGUUUGUUCAGCUUAGCUCUCCUUCCACCAAAACCUUAGUGAGCAAAAAACAAAGAUGAAUAAAUAACGAGCAAACUUUGACCAAAGAAAUCGGCAAACCGGUACUGGAGGAAAAUAGAUGGAUCUGUUUAGGCGAAAGACACACAAGAGUCAGACAGAGGUUUUGUGACUUGGGAGAAAGAUACAAGCUCAGCUCAGUCUCAGCAACUCUGGAAUUCAGACAGAGGGCACCAAGGGACCGGUGCUGCUUUGACGGAAUAUGCCUGCCGCUCUGGGGAGGCCGGACUUGAUUCUCAUCCCCAAAGUCCUCUCUACUUUUUCACUCUCACCGCUCCUCUUUUCUUUCUCGACACUCUGAAAUAUCCUUAGCUUCCCCCCCCCCCCAAUUUUUUACCAAUCAAGAACACAUCAGCAGAGGGCUCUAUGGGAUCUUCCCAACUCACUUGCAUGGAGCAGAAUACUUAGAAUAAGUUAAUGUUUGAACCAGAAAGGACCUUAGAAACGAAGACACAAUCGUAAAUAAAUUUGUCGUUCAGUAUUUUAAAUCCUGAUGAAAUUUAAUUUUCUACAAUAUCAAUGAUUAAAUGGCAUCUAACAGACUUUUAUUAUGAAAGGUGAUUAUAUAAGCAAUAGUUAAAGAGUUGUUAAAAUCCAUUCUUAAAAAUGCAAAACAAACCAAAAAAUCUCUCUAGAAAAACAUUCCCCCAUUAGAAAACUCUUGUCACUUUCAGCAUAUGUACGUCAUGUAGUGAGACUAGAAAAUUGUGAUGAGGUUUUUAGGUAAAAAAUACACCAAAAGCAUACUUCUUGUCAUAUAUCUGUUUUUUGUUUUUUUUUAACUGCUCACCUUCCAUUUUGGAGUCAAUACGGUGUAUUGGCUCCAAGGCAGAACAGUGGGAAGUGACUUGCCCAGGGUCACACAGCUGGGAAGUGUCUGAGGCCAGAUUUGAACCUAGAACUUCCCACCUCUAGGCCUGACACUGCUGUCCCUUGUCAUGUAUCUUUUAAAAUGAUGAUUCAGUAUUCUCUCUCUGAAACAAAAAAAUCAUCAAAACAACUCCAAGCCCUGGCAGAAUCACAGGACUAGAAGGAUUUCAGUGGCCAUAAAAGGAAAGGAAACUUUACUAUAACAUGUUGGCUACACGCCUGUCCAGCCUCUACUAGAAGGUCUCUAAGAAGAUAAAACCUGUAAUGUCUCAAGGCAAAUCAUUCCACUUUUGGACAGCUCUAAUUAUCAGGAAGUUUUUCUCAACAGCAAACCUCAAUUUUCCUCUUUGUACCUUUGCUCUUGGUUCUGGCCUCUGGGAUCAAAUGGAACAAGUGUAGUCCCUCUUUCACACGAUGACAGUCGUAUAAUCGAAGACAGCGAUUUUAUCCUCCUCGUCUCCGGGCUAUUCAAGCCGUCAUGGUAGUUCAUGGACUCAAAGCCUUUCAUGAUCCUGGCUGUUUUUCUCUCGACAUUCUCCUUCUUCUCUGCGUCAUCGUGGAAUGGUCAUGCUCGGAAGUGAAGAAUGGACGCUGUCUGAGAGUGGACGCUCACACCACUGUCUCUUUCAUCUCAGAGGCUACGUUCCUCUUCAAGCAGCCCAAGACGACCGAUUAGCUGUUUUAGCUACCUCAUCGCACUGCUGAUUCAGUGAGAUUCCCAAAACUCUCAGCACUUUUUCAGAACGAAUGCUAGCGAAAUAGGCCUCUCUGCUCCGUCCUCCCUCCCCCCCUACAUGCACAUUUCCAAAAUCACACAUAUCGUUCACUUUGGGGAUUUUGGAGCUCCAAAUUGUCUCCCUCCCUCCUCUAUGGCCUCCCUGAGAUGGCGAGCAAUUUCAUAUGGGCUCUACGUGUGCAAUCACGUAAACCACUCCAUAUUAGUCAUGUUGUGAAAUAAAACAGCCCCCACACACACACUCACACUCACUAAAGACAGUGAAAAUAGCAGGCUUUGCUCCGCAUUCCGACGCCAGCAGUUCUUUCUUGGGAGUGGAUUGCAUUUUUCAUCAGGAGAUGUUAGACAUGUCUUGGAUCAUUGUAUUGCUGGGAAUUGCCAAGUCAUUCACAGUUGAUCACUGUACAAUAUUGCUGUUGGAGAACAACUUGGAACUAUGUCCAAAGGGCCAUAAAGUUGUGCGUAUUUUGUAACUGUGUUCAUAUAGUUCUUGGUUCUGCCUUGGCAGGUUUGCUUUGGCAGGUAGACUCCAACUGUUUUACUUUGUCUGCAGUUAUUUUAUUUUAUUUUUAAACCUAUGGUUUUUGUUUUAUUUUGUUUUUUGUCCUAGUAACAAUUCUAAGACAGAAAGGCAAGGGCUAGGCAAAUAAGGGUAAGUGACUUGCCCAGGGUCACACAGCUAGGCCGUUUCUGAGGUUAGAUUUUAACCUAGGUUUUACUGACUUCAGGCCUGGCACUCUGUCCAUCAAACCACCAACUGUCCCUUCAGUUAUUUUACAUUGAAUAUUUCUUGUUAUCACUUGCUGUUGGACGUUGAUGGUAAUAUAUAGAAAUGAUGAAUUAUGUGAGUUUAUUUUAUAUUCUGCAACUUUCCUAAAAUUGUUAAUUAUUUCAACUAUUUUUUUAGUUGGUUCUCUGUCAGUUUUAUUACUGAUAUGAUCAGUUGUGCUGAUGGUUUCUCUAAUACUGAACCAGCCUGGUGUGAAUCCCAUCUGGUCAUAAUGUAUGAUCAUUGAAAUAUAUUGCUGUGACCUCCUUGCCAGUAUUCUAUUUAAAAAUUUUGCAUCAACAUUCAUUAUGAAGAUUGCUUUAUAGUUUUCUUUCUCUGUUUUCGUUCUUCCUGGUUGAGAUAUUAGUGCCAUAUUUUCAUUGAAAAAGGAAUUUGUUAGGAUUUCUUCUUUGCCUUUUUACCAAGUAGUUUAUUGGAAUUGUUUGUAAUUUAAAUAUGUGAUAGAAUUUCAUUUGUGAAUCCAUUUAGUCUUGGAGAUUUUUCCUUAGGAAAAUCAUUAAUGGCUUUUUCAAUUUCUUUUUCUAAGACAGGGAUAUUUAAAUAUUCUAUAUCUUCUUCCAUUAAUCUGAACAAUUUAUGUUUUUGAAAGUAUCUAUUUCACUUAAAAUUUCAGAUUUACUGCCAUACAAUUGGGCAAAAUAACUACUAAUAAGUUGCUUUAAUUUCCAAUGGUGGUGAAUUCAUCCUUUUCAUUUUUGAU